rnacentral:rRNA from 1 species
GAUGAACGCUGGCGGUAUGCUUAACACAUGCAAGUCGAACGGACUCUUCGGAGUUAGUGGCGGACGGGUGAGUAACGCGUGAGAAUCUGGCUUUGGGUUCGGGACAACCACUGGAAACGGUGGCUAAUACCGGAUGUGCCGAGAGGUAAAAGAGAAAUUGCCUGAAGAUGAGCUCGCGUCUGAUUAGCUAGUUGGUGAGGUAAAGGCUCACCAAGGCAGCGAUCAGUAGCUGGUCUGAGAGGAUGACCAGCCACACUGGGACUGAGACACGGCCCAGACUCCUACGGGAGGCAGCAGUGGGGAAUUUUCCGAAAUGGGCGAAAGCCUGACGGAGCAGUACCGCGUGAGGGAAGAAGGCUCUUGGGUUGUAAACCUCUUUUCUUAGGGAAGAACAAAAUGACGGUACCUAAGGAAUCAGCAUCGGCUAACUCCGUG